rnacentral:rRNA from 1 species
AUUGAACGCUGGCGGCAUGCCUUACACAUGCAAGUCGAACGGUAACAGGUCUUCGGAUGCUGACGAGUGGCGGACGGGUGAGUAAUACAUCGGAACGUGCCUAGUAGUGGGGGAUAACUACUCGAAAGAGUGGCUAAUACCGCAUGAGAUCUACGGAUGAAAGCAGGGGAUCGCAAGACCUUGUGCUACUAGAGCGGCCGAUGGCAGAUUAGGUAGUUGGUGGGAUAAAAGCUUACCAAGCCGACGAUCUGUAGCUGGUCUGAGAGGACGAUCAGCCACACUGGGACUGAGACACGGCCCAGAGUCCUACGGGAGGCAGCAGUGGGGAAUUUUGGACAAUGGGCGCAAGCCUGAUCCAGCAAUGCCGCGUGCAGGAUGAAGGCCUUCGGGUUGUAAACUGCUUUUGUACGGAACGAAAAGCCCUGGGUUAAUACCCUGGGGUCAUGACGGUACCGUAAGAAUAAGCACCGGCUAACUACGUGCCAGCCGCCGCCGUAAUAC